rnacentral:rRNA from 1 species
CCUACGGGUGGCAGCAGUAGGGAAUCUUUCACAAUGGGCGAAAGCCUGAUGGAGCAACGCCGCGUGCAGGAUGAAGGCCUUCGGGUUGUAAAAUGCUUUUAUAAGCGAGAAAUAUGAUGGUAACUUUUGAAUAAGGAUCGGCUAACUACGUGCCAGCAGCCGCGGUCAUACGUAGGAUCCGAGCAUUAUCCGGAGUGACUGGGUGUAAAGAGUUGCGUAGGUGGGAUAAUAAGUAGCUAGUGAAAUCUGGUGGCUCAACCAUUCAGACUAUUAGCUAAACUGUUAAGCUCGAGACCGUUAGGGGUAACUGGAAUUUCUAGUGUAGGAGUGAAAUGCGUAGAUAUUAGAAGGAACACCAAUAGCGUAGGCAGGUUACGGGGACGGUUCUGACACUAAGGCACGAAAGCGUAGGGAGCAAACGGGAUUAGAUACCCCGGUAGUC